UGGGGAAUAUUGCACAAUGGGCGCAAGCCUGAUGCAGCCAUGCCGCGUGUGUGAAGAAGGCCUUCGGGUUGUAAAGCACUUUCAGCGGGGAGGAAGGCGAUAAGGUUAAUAACCUUGUCGAUUGACGUUACCCGCAGAAGAAGCACCGGCUAACUCCGUGCCAGCAGCCGCGGUAAUACGGAGGGUGCAAGCGUUAAUCGGAAUUACUAGGCGUAAAGCGCACGCAGGCGGUCUGUCAAGUCGGAUGUGAAAUCCCCGGGCUCAACCUGGGAACUGCUUUCGAAAAUGGCAGGCUAGAGUCUUGUAGAGGGGGGUAGAAUUCCAGGUGUAGCGGUGAAAUGCGUAGAGAUCUGGAGGAAUACCGGUGGCGAAGGCGGCCCCCUGGACAAAGACUGACGCUCAGGUGCGAAAGCGUGGGGAGCAAACAGG
rnacentral:rRNA from 1 species